GCACCAGCCGAAUGUACAAUUCAGAAGCAGGUGUUCCAAAAAUUGAUGCAGUGGCAUAAACCGGCAGUCUGGUGUGUAAUGUACACCCAUCGUGUGGCGUGUUCGGACUAUCUAAUUGUAUCACCAGUUCCAUCUCAACACCGGAGCCGGCAUGGAGAGAAGAAAUGCAGAAGGCAGCCAAGGGUCAUUUUAUUAUAGGCACAGGGGCAAAAAGAUUGAAAGAGAGGACAUAUCAAAGGAAAUGUUCCAUAAAAUCACAAGGUUCUGUCAUGCGUGGGGACACCUGCCUUGCUGAUGUGCCUGCAACAUUCCAAACUGUCUCCUUUGUCUUCCAAGCUUGCUAUUGUGCACGUGACUUUGGGCUGUGCCACGCCUGAGGUUGUCAAUCCUGAGCCAUUUUUGCUGUCCCGGGAUUUUUUGCUGUCAAUCCCGGGACGGGAUUUCGGGAUUGUGACUAGUUUAGAUAGUGCUUCCGAGCAUAGUCCUGCGCAGGUCGGGACCCGCAUCCGAACCGUGCCCGCAGGUUCCAAUCCGCACCCGACACGCUACCCGAGUCCCGUUACAAAUUGAGACCCGCAUCCGAGCGCAGCACGCAUAUUUUUUUCAAAAAGCUCACUCGCACACGAAGCCCGCAGCGCGAUGAAUGCAGUACACUGAUAGUCUCUGCAUGAUCAUUAGAUGUGUCUGUGUGCAUAGUUUUUUGUACGACAUCAGCGCAGGGGGCAAAAAGGUGCGUGUUGGUUUGUGACUCGAGGCAGGAUGACACGAAGCGUGACAUGGACAAAGCAGAACACACAGGCGCUGUUGCACCCUAAUGGUGUGAGCGUUUGUUCCGCCCUUGUCAGCGACGUUUUACGUCAUAAUUCGAGUACAGAUUGCAGUACAGACGUGUAAAAUGUUGAGCAACUCAGUGUACUUUCUAAUAGUGUUUUGGUAAAAUGCAUCGACCGCACCGAACCCGCUACCUCGCUGGUCCCUACCGUGCAGGGCUCUACUUCCAAGUCCAUUCACCUCAAGUGACUAUAUCGGUGUGCUGCGCGCAGUUCAUGUGUGCUUUGUCAAUUCUACCUUUUCGCGAAAGAAAGCACUCGAAAAUUCGCAGUGUAAUUACAUUGGUAAAUAGUAAAGACGAAAUGGUUACAUUUUAUUUAUUUAUUUUUGCUCUGAUAAUGAUAUAUGAUAAGGAGUGAGUCUGUGCCUGAUGGCCCACGGGUGUUUGAUUUUCCUGUCAUAUUUGCCCUCACGAAGUCCCGGGAUUUUCCGGAAGGAAUCCUGGGACUUCGGGACGUCAAAAAUUGGUCGGGAUCCCGAGAUUUUGGGAUAUCCCGAUUGACAACCCUAGCCACACCCCACUGACAAAAACCAAGGUAGAUGCAAUACAGAAUUGAUGAAUUAAAAACAAUUAAAAAACCCCAGUGCUGCGUAGGACAAGGUUAGGUAAGACAACAUUAUUGUAGUUACGUAAUUAUAGCUAAACAUAUCAUUACUGACAUGUGUCUAACGCUGAAAUCGCAAGGGCACCCCCUGUAGGGGGUGCACUGGUGGAAAAGUUAGGGUGGUGUGGGGGGUCUGGAUAAUUUACUGUGUGCGCUACACCCUUAUCCACUCCCAUAUGACUUAUGGCCUCACAGAUACCUUCAACCUGUUCUCCUGACCUAGAAGCGGGCACUGCAGAUUAUUCUGUUUUUAGAUCCUGAUGAGUCUGUCUCAUUUGCUUUUCCCCGUUUCCGCAUCCUCAAUGUACACCACCUUGUGAAGUAUAAAGUUGCUCAGGUUAUGUACCAGAUAUUUUACACACCUUCUAGUCAACUUCAGUUAACCAUGCACAAUUAUACCACACCCUUCUCUCAGACAUCAGCACAAUUAAUUCUGGUUUCCUACCUAACACACUAAUUUCGGUCCAUUCUUCCUUUCGUCCUUGGGUAGUUAAAUUUGGAACGACAUCCCUCUAUGCCAGUGUUUCUCAAACUUUUCCAGUAUGUGACCCCCUUGAGUACCACCAAACCACCAUUUACAUUUAUAUAUUAUACAUUUAUAUUUUAAUGUAUUUAAAAGACAUAAACCACAGAGAGAGCUACCAAAAAUGCUUAUUGGUGUUUUUUUUAACAAGGAUUGGUUUAAUUUUAAGUAUGUACUUGAUUUCUUGGUACAAGCAAAUCACUAAGUUGGUCUGUGUGACUCAAGCCAUAUCUAGCUAUGCAAGCAAGGCAUAUCGCAUGUCUACUCGGACCCUCCAUGACCCCCAGAAGAAGGCUCAUUACCAGUCAAGGAUCAUUUGGGGGGGGGGGUCAUGACCCGCAGCUUGAGAAACACAGCUCUACGCAUUUGUUCCAACAAUAAUCUUGCAUCCUUCAAAAACGCAAACAAACGGGACAUAUACGUAGGGUGACAUGCAAUUACUUUUUGAUUGUUUGCAUGUCUCUGCUGUGCAAUGCCUUUGCUAUUUGUUUCUUACACUUGACAUGUGUUCUUGGUAUUUUUGUUCCCCUCAAACUGUGUAGACAUUUGCAUUGAUUGUUCAACAGGGCUUGCCCUCUCAGUCCUGUUAUCAGUAAUCAGUGUACACUGUCAUGGAAUAACAAUAAAAAUCUCAAAGCUAAAAAAAAGAAUCCUCUGAAACACA